rnacentral:rRNA from 1 species
UACGGGGGGAGCAAGCGUUGUUCGGAUUUACUGGGCGUAAAGGGCGCGUAGGCGGCCAGCACAAGUCAGUUGUGAAAUCUCCGAGCUUAACUCGGAACGGUCAACUGAUACUGUGCGGCUAGAGUGCGGAAGGGGCAACUGGAAUUCUUGGUGUAGCGGUGAAAUGCGUAGAUAUCAAGAGGAACACCUGUGGUGAAGACGGGUUGCUGGGCUGACACUGACGCUGAGGCGCGAAAGCCAGGGGAGCAAACGGG